rnacentral:tRNA from 1 species
GGCGAGUUCGUAUAUCGGUUAGUACACAAGGUUUUCAUCCUCGUUAGAGCGGUUCGAUUCCGCUACUCGCUA